CACGUAGGUGGUCAUGUAAGUCAGAUGUGAAAGCCCUGGGCUCAACCUAGGAUGUGCAUUUGAAACUGUGUGACUAGAGUACUGUAGAGGGAGGUAGAAUUCCAGGUGUAGCGGUGAAAUGCGUAGAUAUCUGGAGGAAUACCGGUGGCGAAGGCGACCUCCUGGACAGAGACUGACGCUGAGGUGCGAAAGCGUGGGGAGCAAACA
rnacentral:rRNA from 1 species